rnacentral:rRNA from 1 species
AUGAAGAUGGCGAAUUGCAUUCGUAAGGUGGCCUUGGAGGAGUUUGGAGUGUCCAAGGGAAGGAGAAGCGAAGAUAAGGAUACCUGGUGGUGGAAUGAUGAUGUCCAGAAGGCGAUUAAAGAGAAGAAAGAUUGCUUCAGACGCCUAUACCUGGAUAGGAGUGCAGACAACAUAGAGAAGUACAAGAUGGCGAAGAAGGCCGCAAAGCAAGCUGUUGGUGAAGCAAGGGGUCGGGCAUAUGAGGACCUCUACCAACGGUUAGGCAUGAAGGAAGGCGAAAGGGACAUCUAUAAGAUGGCCAAGAUCCGAGAGAGGAAGACGAGGGAUAUUGGCCAAGUCAAAUGCAUCAAGGACGAAGCAGGCCAACUCUUGGUGAAGGACGAGGAGAUUAAGCAUAGAUGGCGGGAGUACUUCAACAAGCUGUUUAAUGGGGAGAAUGAGAGUUCUACCAUUGAACUGGACGACUCCUUUGAUGAGACCAGCAUGCGUUUUGUGCGGCGAAUCCAGGAGUCUGAGGUUAAGGAGGCUUUAAAAAGGAUGAAAGGAACCAAGGCGAUGGGCCUGAUUGUAUCCCCAUUAAGGUGUGGAAAGGUCUCGGGGACAUAG